AAAAAAGAAAAGCCAAAAAUUGACUUCUAUGUUCGUUGCCCACUGAUUUAUUUCUUGAUGUGCCGGACAAAGCAGCAAUAAAAAAAAAAUAAAAAAUAAACUUCUUUCUCCAUAU
rnacentral:ribozyme from 16 species